UACAGAGGGGGCCAGCGUUAUUCGGAAUUAUUGGGCGUAAAGGGCGCGUAGGCGCCAUGCGUGUCUUCCGUGAAAUCCCUCGGCUUAACUGAGGACGUGCGGAAGAAACUGCAAGGCUCGAGUCCGGGAGAGGGGGGUGGAAUUCCCAGUGUAGCGGUGAAAUGCGUAGAUAUUGGGAGGAACACCGGUGGCGAAGGCGGCCCCCUGGACCGGUACUGACGGCCUGAGGCGGCGAAAAGCGUGGGUAGCAAACGGG
rnacentral:rRNA from 1 species